UACGUAGGGUGCGAGCGUUGUCCGGAAUUACUGGGCGUAAAGCGUGCGCAGGCGGUUCGUUGUGUCGGCGGUGAAAGCCCCGGGCUUAACCUGGGAAUGGCCGUUGAAACUGGCGAACUGGAGUGUGGCAGAGGGGGGUGGAAUUCCGCGUGUAGCAGUGAAAUGCGUAGAGAUGCGGAGGAACACCGAUGGCGAAGGCAGCCCCCUGGGCUAACACUGACGCUCAGGCACGAAAGCGUGGGGAGCAAACAGG
rnacentral:rRNA from 1 species